GGGGAAUAUUGCACAAUGGGCGCAAGCCUGAUGCAGCCAUGCCGCGUGUAUGAAGAAGGCCUUCGGGUUGUAAAGUACUUUCAGCGGGGAGGAAGGCGAUAAGGUUAAUAACCUUGUCGAUUGACGUUACCCGCAGAAGAAGCACCGGCUAACUCCGUGCCAGCAGCCGCGGUAAUACGGAGGGUGCAAGCGUUAAUCGGAAUUACUGGGCGUAGAGCGCACGCAGGCGGUCUGUCAAGUCGGAUGUGAAAUCCCCGGGCUCAACCUGGGAACUGCAUUCGAAACUGGCAGGCUGGAGUCAUGUAGAGGGGGGUAGAAUUCCAGGUGUAGCGGUGAAAUGCGUAGAGAUCUGGAGGAAUACCGGUGGCGAAGGCGGCCCCCUGGACAAAGACUGACGCUCAGGUGCGAAAGCGUGGGGAGCAAAC
rnacentral:rRNA from 1 species